UCAUCUUUUUCCAGUAUCUUAUUUUUCUUCUCUUUAUCUGUUAUUAAUUUCUUCCUCCCUUCGAUUGCCUUGUCUCUUCCUCGUUCUCUUUAUCCUCUCCUACACUCUCCACUAUAUUUUCUGCCCUUCCCAUCCCAUUCUCUCCUUCUUCCCCUCCUGCUUUCUGAUUUCAACCCCUCUACCACCGAGCGAUAAAUUUUUCCAAAGGUAUAACGCUAAUCACCCUCUCCAAAAUGCCUGUCAGUCCAGUACAAUUAAAAAAACUCAAGAUCCACAAAAGAGUUUUGAAUACCAGCGCGAUUUUCCCUAUGAAGUAGGAUAAUUCGAUUAAAUCGCCCACACCGAAUAUUUCCGGUAACUGACAAGGACGUAAUAAUAGUUUAGCCCAGGGAGAAGAAAAAUAAUAAAUUUAUUAAGUAUUUUCAUACCUAUAUAAAUAUAUUAGACCUAUUGCAGUUGGUAGAACUGCGCGAGUCCAUGUCCAAUGGCGUCGACUAAGAGAAACAAGUAGCGCGGGGAUAGCCAGGCAGGCAGGAUGUAAACAAAUAGUACAAAAGUAAACCUUGGAUGUCGACAAGACGCUAUUUUUACAACGAGUAAGAAGUGCGCGGGUAUGCGCGGGGACGCGUGCGUUUCCUCAAGAAAGUUUAAAAGACGCGCGGAGUGUCGUUUGCGAGCAUAAAAUCUGACUUACGUAGUACCUUAAUUCGCGUGUACCGAAAGAGUCUUGCGUUGUCAUGCGGUUUACUGGGCUAUACAUCUUCCCGAGUCAGUGGUACAUUUUCGUCGAUCAACCCAUACGAAUUGAGUAUCCGUACGUACGACUUCAGCGCCACCGUCAGUCUCCGAUGGUUACGCGGAAAUUUAUACAAACGUUUUGUCACCCCAUGUGAAAUAUAAACCGCAUUCGUACGUUUUACAUGAGCACGCGUCCCUGAUCGUCUACGCCUAUAUAUUUUGGCAUUUCGAUCGUUACGUUUUCGUGCUUCUAGUUUGUUUUAUUGGAUCGAAUGAAUACGUAAGCAGCAGGGACACAGGAGUUACGGAUGUGAAUUGCGUGUGCAAGCCUUGACCUUGAAUUGAAAAAUUCUGUGCUUCGUUGCGGUAUCUUGAAUUUCGUUGGCGAUAGUGCAUCCUCGUAAUUCCUUGCGUUUCGUAUACAUCGCGCUCUUAGGUUAGGUUAAUAUCUGACUUGUGGCGAGCGGCAGUACACGCUUAUAUUGUAUGUACGUGCGAUAUAAACAUGACGGAAGAGAUCUUGCAGAUGAUGGUGAGGAAUUGUGUCUCGGAGUUACAAAGUCACAAUUUGACUCUAGUUGCUGACGCGCUGACUUAGGAACGCGCAAACGUGUUUGCCAUGAAAUUCUUCCAUAUAUAAAUAAGAGGCGGUUUAAUCGGAUGGAAUGGCAAUAAGCAAACGUCACGAAAUCCGAUCGCCGUUACGUGGAAUUAACUAGAGAGGGAAUGAUUUAGAUUAAAACAUAAUUUCAAGCGUCAAUGAUCAUUUGUUGGUUUUACGAACGCUUACUACAAGAACAACGUGAUACGUAUACCCUGGAUUACGAAGUGUCAAGGUAGAAUGACUGUAUCUGUUUUGUCACUUUGUCUUCACUCUUAACGGAGCAAAUACAAAGAUGGCAGAUGUACAGCACGAUAAACGUCAUUGAUAAGAUAAUAAACUUGAAGUACUAAGUAGAUACGUUAUCGAUAGCACUACGCUUGAAAGAUGAUGUCCUUUCCAAGGGUCGGCAAAGUUGACGGUAUCAUUAGUGUAUAUUUAAAAAAAAUAAUAAUAAUUGUAAAUACGACUAACAAAGAGUCAUGCACACAAAAUGGUAGUGCACCUAGUACACGUAUAGACAAUUAAAUAAUCAACAAAAGAAUCCUUUGCCCGACGCGUCUUAUACAAAUACAAAAACCACGUAGGGUACCUAUGUGAACGUAAUUCAAACAACGUUUGAAUAAAAUCAUCAUAGAUAUUACACCACUGUACAACCUUAAAAAAUGGCAUAAUCAAAUGAACCCAUGUCUUACAUAACCAUAGCAACCGUAUGAAAACUGUCAAACCUAUUGCGUCUCCUGUACUUAUAUGUCAUAGAUCCAAAAUUCAUUAAAAAUCAUGAGAAUCCCCGGACUAGGAUCCGCUUGGCGGUAAAAAGAAUGCACUAUUAAUAAAUAGUUCUUCCAAGCAUAUCAGGCAGUGUGCGCGAAGUGUCUGGUGAUAUAAUCUCUAUAUGUGUAUAUAAGUGCAUACAAGUGAAUACGUGACCCGAACAGAAGGAGGAAACGGUCCGACAUAAAGAGGGACUUAAAAAUAUUCAUAUGCACAAGAAAUAGACAUCGGAUUAGGUCGGGAAUGAAAGUUCGGUCCGAGGGGAAGGAACAAUAGAGAAAAUAAAGUAGGGGAUUCCCCGGCUGUAACGUUAGCUAGCUCCUCCGCGCAACUGUGACAAACUUCGACACUGACAUUGGGGUAGGUCGGUCGUCACCAUGGCAAACGUUCAGCUAUUAAAAAUACAGUCAACCAGAGGCGAACCCUGUGCGAAUUGGUCGGCAAAGGCGAAUUAACGGGCCAAGAAGCCGCGUGGUUUAACGUCAACGAGAAUCGAUCGAUGGACAAUGGCCGAUGCUUGAGAGGAACAUAAUGUAUUACAUAUGUGCAUAUAUAAAUACACAAACAUGUAUUACUCAUCCUGUGUAAAAGGAAACGGCCAUUUUCGACGUAACGCCGUUUAAUGCAAAAAUCGAAUAGAAACGAGAAAUAGCGGUUGUUGGAUUUUACAUCGGAUUGCAUUGAGCAAUAAUAUAUGUAUAGAUGUCAUUAAUGUUACGCAAUCUAACUAAAUGGAAAUGACUAUUAUGGACUAAAGCUUAUAAAUAAAUGUAUAACGUUGUUGUGCA